GUCCACGCCGUAAACGAUGGGUGCUGGGUGUCGCGGGUAUUGACCCCCGCGGUGCCGUAGCCAACGCGUUAAGCACCCCGCCUGGGAAGUACGGCCGCAAGGCUAAAACUCAAAGGAAUUGACGGGGGCCCGCACAAGCAGUGGAGCAUGUGGUUUAAUUCGACGCAACGCGCAGAACCUUACCCGGGCUAGAAAAGCACGGAAUCUGGUAGAAAUACCGGGGUGCCCGCAAGGGAACCGUGAUCCAGGUGCUGCAUGGCUGUCGU
rnacentral:rRNA from 1 species